AGAAUCAACGCUGGCGGCGUGCCUAACACAUGCAAGUCGCGCGAGAAAGGGGCUUCGGCUCUGAGUAAAGUGGCGCACGGGUGAGUAACACGUGAAUUAUCUACCUCCGAGUGGGGAAUAACUGAGAGAAAUCUUAGCUAAUACCGCAUAACACUUACGAGUCAAAGCAGCAAUGCGCUUGGAAAGGAGUUCGCGGCCGAUUAGUUAGUUGGCGGGGUAAUGGCCCACCAAGACGAUGAUCGGUA
rnacentral:rRNA from 1 species